rnacentral:sRNA from 1 species
AGUACAAAUGAUGUGUGUUCCGCUA